rnacentral:rRNA from 1 species
UAAUUAAGCGAAGGAAAAGAAAAUAACUAUGAUUCCCUCAGUAAGGGCGACUGAAGCGGGAAGAGCUCAUUCUGUGAAUCUCUGCUUCAUGCAGAGAGUUGUGGAGAGGUACGCUUGUCUUGGCCUUAGCUUAAAUCUCUUGGAACAGGGUGCCUAUGAGGGUGAGAGCCCCGUAUAGCUUCUGGCCUUGGCUUUAACGUGUAUCUCAUACGAGUCGAGUUGCUUGGGAUUGCAGCUCUAAGUGGGUGGUAAACUCCAUCUAAAGCUAAAUAUCGGCGUGAUAUCGAUAGCGAACAAGUACCGUGAGGGAAAGAUGCAAAGAACUUUGAAAAGAGAGUUAAAGAGUACCUGAAAUUGUUGAAAUGGAAGCGAAGGAAAUCAGUGCUAUUCAUUACUAUUUUUCCAGCCUUACUUGUGAGGUUGGCGCUGUGGUGCUGAAUAAGCCAGUGUGGGUUUAUACCGGGGGAAGACGCUCUUCAGAAGGCAGCUAGAUUUCCUAGCGAUUGCUGUUGGGUUGUGCUCUGGUAUAGACUGAGGCUAGUCACUUGUGCUCGUGACACUGGCAAAAUGGUUUUCUUUACCCCG